rnacentral:rRNA from 1 species
UACGUAGGGUGCGAGCGUUAAUCGGAAUUACUGGGCGUAAAGUGUGCGCAGGUGGCCGCGCAAGUCGAGUGUGAAAUCCCCGAGCUUAACUUGGGAAUUGCGCUCGAAACUACGUGGCUCGAGUGUGGCAGAGGAAGGUGGAAUUCCACGUGUAGCGGUGAAAUGCGUAGAGAUGUGGAGGAACACCGAUGGCGAAGGCAGCCUUCUGGGCCAACACUGACGCCCAUGCACGAAAGCGUGGGGAGCAAACAGG